CGGAUUUUAAAUAUCCGUCCCUAAAUUAGAGACGGAUUUUUAAAAUCCGUCUCUAAAUAAUUUAGAGACGGAUUCUAAGAAUCCGUCUCUAAAUUUCAUUAUGAAUAUUUUAUUGCGCUUCUUUAAUUUAGGGACGGAUUUUAAAAAUCCGUCUCUAAGUUAGAGACGGAUUUUACAAAUCCGUCUCUAAAUUAGGGACGGAUUUUUAAAACCCG
rnacentral:pre_miRNA from 1 species